rnacentral:rRNA from 1 species
UUAAGCGACUAAGCGUACACGGUGGAUGCCCUGGCAGUCAGAGGCGAUGAAGGACGUGCUAAUCUGCGAUAAGCGUCGGUAAGGUGAUAUGAACCGUUAUAACCGGCGAUUUCCGAAUGGGGAAACCCAGUGUGUUUCGACACACUAUCAUUAACUGAAUCCAUAGGUUAAUGAGGCGAACCGGGGGAACUGAAACAUCUAAGUACCCCGAGGAAAAGAAAUCAACCGAGAUUCCCCCAGUAGCGGCGAGCGAACGGGGAGCAGCCCAGAGUCUGAAUCAGUGUGUGUGUUAGUGGAAGCGUCUGGAAAGGCGCGCGAUACAGGGUGACAGCCCCGUACACAAAAAUGCACAUGCUGUGAGCUCGAUGAGUAGGGCGGGACACGUGGUAUCCUGUCUGAAUAUGGGGGGACCAUCCUCCAAGGCUAAAUACUCCUGACUGACCGAUAGUGAACCAGUACCGUGAGGGAAAGGCGAAAAGAACCCCGGCGAGGGGAGUGAAAAAGAACCUGAAACCGUGUACGUACAAGCAGUGGGAGCACGCUUAGGCGUGUGACUGCGUACCUUUUGUAUAAUGGGUCAGCGACUUAUAUUCUGUAGCAAGGUUAACCGAAUAGGGGAGCCGAAGGGAAACCGAGUCUUAACUGGGCGUUAAGUUGCAGGGUAUAGACCCGAAACCCGGUGAUCUAGCCAUGGGCAGGUUGAAGGUUGGGUAACACUAACUGGAGGACCGAACCGACUAAUGUUGAAAAAUUAGCGGAUGACUUGUGGCUGGGGGUGAAAGGCCAAUCAAACCGGGAGAUAGCUGGUUCUCCCCGAAAGCUAUUUAGGUAGCGCCUCGUGAAUUCAUCUCCGGGGGUAGAGCACUGUUUCGGCAAGGGGGUCAUCCCGACUUACCAACCCGAUGCAAACUGCGAAUACCGGAGAAUGUUAUCACGGGAGACACACGGCGGGUGCUAACGUCCGUCGUGAAGAGGGAAACAACCCAGACCGCCAGCUAAGGUCCCAAAGUCAUGGUUAAGUGGGAAACGAUGUGGGAAGGCCCAGACAGCCAGGAUGUUGGCUUAGAAGCAGCCAUCAUUUAAAGAAAGCGUAAUAGCUCACUGGUCGAGUCGGCCUGCGCGGAAGAUGUAACGGGGCUAAACCAUGCACCGAAGCUGCGGCAGCGACGCUUAUGCGUUGUUGGGUAGGGGAGCGUUCUGUAAGCCUGUGAAGGUGUGCUGUGAGGCAUGCUGGAGGUAUCAGAAGUGCGAAUGCUGACAUAAGUAACGAUAAAGCGGGUGAAAAGCCCGCUCGCCGGAAGACCAAGGGUUCCUGUCCAACGUUAAUCGGGGCAGGGUGAGUCGACCCCUAAGGCGAGGCCGAAAGGCGUAGUCGAUGGGAAACAGGUUAAUAUUCCUGUACUUGGUGUUACUGCGAAGGGGGGACGGAGAAGGCUAUGUUGGCCGGGCGACGGUUGUCCCGGUUUAAGCGUGUAGGCUGGUUUUCCAGGCAAAUCCGGAAAAUCAAGGCUGAGGCGUGAUGACGAGGCACUACGGUGCUGAAGCAACAAAUGCCCUGCUUCCAGGAAAAGCCUCUAAGCAUCAGGUAACAUCAAAUCGUACCCCAAACCGACACAGGUGGUCAGGUAGAGAAUACCAAGGCGCUUGAGAGAACUCGGGUGAAGGAACUAGGCAAAAUGGUGCCGUAACUUCGGGAGAAGGCACGCUGAUAUGUAGGUGAAGUCCCUCGCGGAUGGAGCUGAAAUCAGUCGAAGAUACCAGCUGGCUGCAACUGUUUAUUAAAAACACAGCACUGUGCAAACACGAAAGUGGACGUAUACGGUGUGACGCCUGCCCGGUGCCGGAAGGUUAAUUGAUGGGGUUAGCGCAAGCGAAGCUCUUGAUCGAAGCCCCGGUAAACGGCGGCCGUAACUAUAACGGUCCUAAGGUAGCGAAAUUCCUUGUCGGGUAAGUUCCGACCUGCACGAAUGGCGUAAUGAUGGCCAGGCUGUCUCCACCCGAGACUCAGUGAAAUUGAACUCGCUGUGAAGAUGCAGUGUACCCGCGGCAAGACGGAAAGACCCCGUGAACCUUUACUAUAGCUUGACACUGAACAUUGAGCCUUGAUGUGUAGGAUAGGUGGGAGGCUUUGAAGUGUGGACGCCAGUCUGCAUGGAGCCGACCUUGAAAUACCACCCUUUAAUGUUUGAUGUUCUAACGUGGACCCGUAAUCCGGGUUGCGGACAGUGUCUGGUGGGUAGUUUGACUGGGGCGGUCUCCUCCUAAAGAGUAACGGAGGAGCACGAAGGUUGGCUAAUCCUGGUCGGACAUCAGGAGGUUAGUGCAAUGGCAUAAGCCAGCUUGACUGCGAGCGUGACGGCGCGAGCAGGUGCGAAAGCAGGUCAUAGUGAUCCGGUGGUUCUGAAUGGAAGGGCCAUCGCUCAACGGAUAAAAGGUACUCCGGGGAUAACAGGCUGAUACCGCCCAAGAGUUCAUAUCGACGGCGGUGUUUGGCACCUCGAUGUCGGCUCAUCACAUCCUGGGGCUGAAGUAGGUCCCAAGGGUAUGGCUGUUCGCCAUUUAAAGUGGUACGCGAGCUGGGUUUAGAACGUCGUGAGACAGUUCGGUCCCUAUCUGCCGUGGGCGCUGGAGAACUGAGGGGGGCUGCUCCUAGUACGAGAGGACCGGAGUGGACGCAUCACUGGUGUUCGGGUUGUCAUGCCAAUGGCACUGCCCGGUAGCUAAAUGCGGAAGAGAUAAGUGCUGAAAGCAUCUAAGCACGAAACUUGCCCCGAGAUGAGUUCUCCCUGACCCUUUAAGGGUCCUGAAGGAACGUUGAAGACGACGACGUUGAUAGGCCGGGUGUGUAAGCGCAGCGAUGCGUUGAGCUAACCGGUACUAAUGAACCGUGAGGCUUAACCUU